rnacentral:rRNA from 1 species
AGUGAACGCUGGCGGUAGGCCUAACACAUGCAAGUCGAACGGCAGCACAGUAAGAGCUUGCUCUUACGGGUGGCGAGUGGCGGACGGGAGAGGAAUACAUCGGAAUCUACUUUUUCGUAGGGGAUAACGUAGGGAAACUUACGCUAAUACCGCAUACGACCUACGGGUGAAAGCAGGGGAUCUUCGGACCUUGCGCGAUUGAAUGAGCCGAUGUCGGAUUAGCUAGUUGGCGGGGUAAAGGCCCACCAAGGCGACGAUCCGUAGCUGGUCUGAGAGGAUGAUCAGCCACACUGGAACUGAGACACGGUCCAGACUCCUACGGGAGGCAGCAGUGGGGAAUAUUGGACAAUGGGCGCAAGCCUGAUCCAGCCAUACCGCGUGGGUGAAGAAGGCCUUCGGGUUGUAAAGCCCUUUUGUUGGGAAAGAAAAGCAGCAGGUUAAUACCCCGCUGUUCUGACGGUACCCAAAGAAUAAGCACCGGCUAACUUCGUG